GGCUCUACACAGUGAUUAAAAUAAUCUUUAUACAUGUACAUGAUUCAGAAUACAGAUACUCUGUUGCCAAAAAAGGUGACUUCAGUAACAAUGCUUCAAAACAACAGGGUUAUUUUUUCAUAUUAUUUUUUUAAUCCUGAAAAAUAUGAAUAAAUCUGAAAUAGCAAAUCUUUUUACGUGUUUUUUUUUCUGUUUCUGUCUCCAGUGGAUGUAACUCUGGAUCCUGCUACUGCUGCUGGCUGGGUGGUCCUGUCCCCGGAUGGUAAAAAGGUGAGCCUGAGCUCCCAGCAGUGGAGGAACCCGCUACCUGACGACCCCCGCAGGUUCAACUCCUGCGUCGCUGUGCUGGGAAAACAAAGCUUCACAUCUGGGAAACGUUACUGGGUGGUUCAGGUUGGGGACAAAAGAGACUGGGAUCUUGGGGUGGCCCGGGAGUCCAUCAACAGGAAGGGUGCCAUCACAAUUUGCCCUGACAACGGUUACUGGGCGAUAUGCUGACGUAGCGGUGGUAGCCUGUGCGCCUGCGCUGGACCUUCCGUCACCCUUCACCUUAAAGAAAUUCCUCAGAAAGUCGGUAUAUUCCUGGACUAUGACGAAGGCUCGGUUUCCUUCUACAACACAGAGGCAAAGACUCACAUUUAUACUUACAGUGGGCUCACUUUCACCGAGCCGCUGUAUCCGUACUUUAACCCCUGCAUACAUGACACCGGGAAGAACACGGCCCCGCUGGUUAUCUGCCCGAUCGAGGCUGGGAUCACUGUAGACACUUCAGCACGUUGAACAAGAGACUCGGAGGAUCCUUGUUAAAACCUCAAGAGUAUCCACAUUAGUUGUCUGGAUAAGUUGUAAUCUGUAAAUGCAAACAAAAGGCACUUGGAGCAGAACGAAAGACCAAGAACAGGAGAAAAUAUUCUCCUGAAUUUGUACGUGCUUUGUCUCUAGGGGCCACCGUAAAUAUACUUUUAUUUAUUCACUCCACAUAAAAUGUAAUAAAUAACUAUUUAACAUUUCAACUUUUAACUAUUUAAAUUUUCAGCUUUUUCCUUUUAAACAAAUUUAAAGUGAAACAACACAAAACACUGCAAACCACAACACAAUUAAAUAUAAAUUAAAAUAUGAAACAAAAAGAAGAUGCACAUUCUCUGUCAUAUGGGCCUGCAUGAAUAAACUUUCUGAAC
ensembl:lncRNA